UUUAUACAGACCCUUAAUUCCUGUUUGUGAUCUGAUCCUGCUGAGAGAUGCAGUGUGAACACCUGGAUUCUUCUACUCUCACCACAUCUUCCCUACAGUGAUGGACUGCAUCCCCUGAAAAGGACCACUUUCCCAGGAGUGGCAUGGCCCACAGUGGGCUGGGCCCUCCCACAUCACACAACAAUGAAGAAAAUGCCCCACAGACAUGGCCACAGGCCAGUUCAAUAGAGGAAAUUCUUCAACUGCUGUCCCCUCCCCCCAGCUGUGUCAAGUUCCCAAAUAAAGAUGUCCAGCACACAUUCAAAGACACUUUGAA